CACGUAGGGGGCAAGCGUUGUCCGGAAUCAUUGGGCGUAAAGAGCUCGUAGGCGGCUCAGUAAGUCGGGUGUGAAACCUCCAGGCUCAACCUGGAGACGCCACCCGAUACUGCUGUGGCUAGAGUCCAGUAGGGGAGUGUGGAAUUCCCGGUGUAGCGGUGAAAUGCGCAGAUAUCAGGAGGAACACCGGUGGCGAAGGCGGGAUCCUGGGCCAGUACUGACGCUGAGGAGCGAAAGCGUGGGGAGCAAACAGG
rnacentral:rRNA from 1 species